CCAUUACACCCCUGCUACUCGGAGUUGCUUUCGCAUGUUAAGAUGAGGGCUAUACGGCUCGGAAAUCGCAACCCGUACGCACCAUAUUUUCCCAUAUAAAUUUGGAAGACCAAUGCCUGCUGCUACCGCAAGUGCCCACUGAAGAGAAAUCACAGUAUUAAGAAAGUGAAACAUUCGUACCCAUUGAAGAAAUUCCGCUGAUUGUCGAGGAAACCAGACCGAUUGAAUCAAAGAUAGUUCCUUUCCUUUAUUUUGGGUAAUUCUUUUUUACGAGAAGCAGCUUGUGACGGCGAAGAAGAGCUAGGGAGACUCCUGAACUGAACCGAAUGGAAGACUAUGGAACUGGAUAAGAGAAUGUAAAGAUUGGCCAUGCUCCAGUUACCAAGGUGCACGGUGUCCUUCGCACACUGUUAGAAACGAGUUAAUUUCACUUCCCCGUCCAAUAAGAGGCAGAGAAAGCAGUUCCUUACACCGAGAAUGCAACCACCUCCAAUGACGCUGUCUAUUAUUAUAGCAUCAGUCACAUGAGUUGGAGGCAGAACCCGAGGUAAAGUGUAGAUGGGAGACUUUUUAUCGAAGAAGCUGGUAUGAAAGGAUGAAGUUUUUGUUAGUUUGUGAGGUGUCCAAUAUAGGCAGAACAUUCACUGGGAUAAUACUUUCAGCCCUUUUCUGGUAUUAAAGUUACUGACUUAAA